AGAGUUUGAUCCUGGCUCAGAAUCAACGCUGGCGGCGUGCCUAACACAUGCAAGUCGAACGAGAAAGUGGAGCAAUCCAUGAGUAAAGUGGCGCACGGGUGAGUAACACGUGACUAACCUACCUUUUUGUGGGGGAUAACCUAGGGAAACCUGGGCUAAUACCGCAUAAUACCUACGGGUCAAAGCAGCAAUGCGCAGAAAGAGGGGGUCGCGGUCGAUUAGUUAGUUGGCAGGGUAAUGGCCUACCAAGACUGUGAUCGAUAUCCGGCCUGAGAGGGCGCACGGACACACUGGAACUGAAACACGGUCCAGACUCCUACGGGAGGCAGCAGUGGGGAAUUUUGCGCAAUGGGGGAAACCCUGACGCAGCAACGCCGCGUGGAGGAUGAAGUCCCUUGGGACGUAAACUCCUUUCGAUCGGGACGAUAAUGACGGUACCGGAAGAAGAAGCCCCGGCUAACUUCGUGCCAGCAGCCGCGGUAAUACGAGGGGGGCAAGCGUUGUUCGGAAUUAUUGGGCGUAAAGGGUGCGUAGGUGGUUCGGCAAGUCUUGUGUGAAAUCUUCAGGCUCAACUUGAAGUCUGCACAAGAAACUGCCGGGCUUGAGUAUGGGAGAGGUGAGUGGAAUUUCCGGUGUAGCGGUGAAAUGCGUAGAUAUCGGAAGGAACACCUGUGGCGAAAGCGGCUCACUGGACCAUUACUGACACUGAGGCGCGAAAGCGUGGGGAGCAAACAGGAUUAGAUACCCUGGUAGUCC
rnacentral:rRNA from 1 species